GGCAUCUUGGCCGAGCGGCUAGGCAGAGGUCUGCAAAACCUCGUACAGCGGUUCGAAUCCGCUAGAUGCCUCCA
rnacentral:tRNA from 2 species